AGGCGGGGCCGAGCAGACAGGGAUGGAGAGAGGAGGGCAUGAAACAGGAAAUGUGGGAGAAAGACCAAGGGGAGGAAUAUAUAUGGAUGGAGGAGAAGAUGGAAGAAGCAGAGGAGAAAAAGAUUUUUUCUUGGACAAAUUGGAGGCAAUUCAGUACCAACAAAGAAGAGAAAAGGAUUAAAGAAAAGGAGGAAAGAGUCCAGAAAAAACUGGCAAAACUGAGUCAGAGGGCUGCUGAAGAGGAGGAAAGGGCAAAGAGAAAAUGGGAAGAAGCUGGGAAGAGAGCUGAGAAAACGGUGGGAAAAGCCCAGAAAAAACAGGAGGAAAAGAGGAUGAAGGCAGAGAAAGAAGCGGAAAAGGCCAAGAGAAAACUUGAGCAAAAGGAAAAAAAGGCAAAUGAGCCAAGGUGGUGGCAAAUGUAUGACAACGAGGUGUGCAGGUACCCUAAUAUUAGUUAUUAUAUGUAGUUCCUGACUGGCAGGACACACCACAGGGAAGCGCUUCAAAAGUCAUUUUAUGAAGCAACAGUGACAUCCUGUGGCCAGUCAGGCAUCUGCAGUCAGCCUGUGCAAGCUCCAAGUGAAAUGUAGCCUACUCCUCCAAAGCUGGUCGUGUAAGACAGUAUGGAGAAAAGAAGUGAUUUGUCCAGUAGCCCCCCAUGGUGAAUUAUUAGCUGUGGCAUCACCACCCAGGAAGGGAGGAUUUCAGUUUCUGGGAUUGCCAACCUUAUCGUGGACCAGCAGUGUAGUUCUGCGGGCCUACACUCUUGCUGGUGAAGAUGGAAGAGGAAGCAUGAGGAUUCUCUACAUGACAAUGGAGGGUCUUCAUGAUUAUACGCUGCAAAUAAAGCAUGACAAAAAGGAGGAAUACCAGGAGGCCAGCUUGGAGUAAAGAGGAAGACACUUCUGGGAUCAGUCCAAUCUACUUCAGCCCACAGUGACAGCAGCUCCUGGGCUCCUGCUUUCACCAUGCUGUACUGACGUCCACUGCUGUUAGGAAAUUCCCCCCGUGAUGACAUCCUGACGGUUUUGGUGUGGUGAGAGUGCUCGCCUCCAUUUCGACAAUCCUCCUUUUUUUUACAUUUGGGGACCCAGGCACAACAUGCAGCAGUUUUGUUAGUUCCCAUAAAAAAACUUCAAAAGGCAGCUUUUUCAACUUAGUACUCUUCCAGGACGCAUGAUUAGUUAGGCCAACAAGCUGCCUAGUUAGCUGACUAGCCUGUCUACACUAGACUGAUCAUGCGUGCAUUUCAGCCUUCAAAUAAAUGACUCAAUUAGGUUUAGCUGUCGCAAAGCCUAUUAGCUGAAUAUAUGAAUUCUCCGAGCUGAUACCGCGCCCAGUGCUUUUCUGUCAGACCUUCAGAGUUUUUGUAGCCAUAGCCCAAGCCUUUUAAGUGUACGUACCAUGUCUGUUUGCUAACCCUGCACGAUCUACACGAUCGUAGCAAGAUUGUCUCUUUCUGCCUCCAAGU